GAUCGCUGUCAUCAGUCAAGGCUGCCGGAGGGUUGUUUUCACGAGUUCUCUCAAAUGCUGCAGGAGCUUAGGAACAGAAAACAGGAGCUGCCUUCGAGAUCUGUUCUGGCAUUGGAAGCAUCCCAAGGUUUCCAGGGUGUGAAUACUGACUUGUCAACCAAAGGGCACGCUCCUCAUUCUCUCAAUGCCUAUCCUGCCUCUUCCAACCCAGGGUUGUGCCACCAUUUUAUCCAUUAAGCCCAGCCCCUGCCUUGUCAGUCCCACCCCAAUACACCAAGGACACUGAACUGGGGUUCUGCAGCAUCUUUGCUGAAAAAAAAUGAAAGGAUAGUUUCAAUCCCAUAGCCCCUGUCAUCACCUCUCAUCACACUCUACUGCCAUGAUCUCCUGAAGCAUGUGAACCUCCGUGACCUCCCUCACAAAUGUCCCCAGGCAUUGCUGAUGUGGCUGCAUAGCAUGGAUGGUCAGGAGACUGUCCAGUGAAUCUUGCAAACUCCUCCUCCCCCAACCUCAGCCAGGAGAUCACUCCUGGGUGAAGUCCUCCCAUCUCAAGCACAGUGAGGCUGUGGGUUGCAGGCUUCAGGACUGGCAUUCCUCUUGGGUAAAGCUUGCCCAUCUGCCACUCAAGAAGACUUUGAAAGUUUGAGUGGGGACCUCAUCUUAUUUACCUUGUCUUCAGUGCCCAGGAUGGUGUAAACAACACCCAGCACAUGUGUUCCCAACAGGAUCCUAGAGAGGCUGUUGGUGUGCUAUGGAGAAUACCCCAAACCUCUUCCUUGCCCAUCUCGCUUACAGAGUUGAGCUGCCAGACCUCCUGAACUCCAAGCAAAGCAUCCAGCCCGCUCUAAACAUCCCCACAAGGAUGCCCACGGCUCCCAUUGCAGUUGCCUUUCUCCCUGCAGGCGGAAUUGAUCUCCUUCCUCUCAAAUGUACCCUGGCUCCUGUGUUCUGUAUUCUCAUCACUGCUCCCAGUGAGACCCUGGGAGACCUCACUGACCCUCUGUACCCUUCACUUCUGUUCCCACACCACCUGGGGCCUUGCUCAGAUGCAUGCCCGCAGUCCACCUCCUCCCUCUGCUGCUGCUGCCCCUUUCCUACCUCGAGACUUGGAAGUAUUGGGAUGAGAUCUCUGACUGAAAUAUCCUGA
rnacentral:lncRNA from 1 species